UAUGUAGGUGGCAAGCGUUGUCCGGAUUUACUGGGCGUAAAGAGCGCGCAGGCGGUCGGAUAAGUCGAAUGUGAAAGCCCCCGGCUCAACUGGGGAGGGUCAUUCGAUACUGUUCGACUCGAAGGCAGGAGAGGGAAGUGGAAUUCCCGGUGUAGUGGUGAAAUGCGUAGAUAUCGGGAGGAACACCAGUGGCGAAGGCGACUUCCUGGCCUGUUCUUGACGCUGAGGCGCGAAAGCUAGGGGAGCAAACGGG
rnacentral:rRNA from 1 species